rnacentral:rRNA from 1 species
GACGAACGCUGGCGGCGUGCUUAACACAUGCAAGUCGAACGAAGAGCGACGGAAGCUUGCUUCUAUCAAUCUUAGUGGCGAACGGGUGAGUAACGCGUAAUCAACCUGCCCUUCAGAGGGGGACAACAGUUGGAAACGACUGCUAAUACCGCAUACGAUCUAAUCUCGGCAUCGAGGAUGGAUGAAAGGUGGCCUCUACAUGUAAGCUAUCACUGAAGGAGGGGAUUGCGUCUGAUUAGCUAGUUGGAGGGGUAACGGCCCACCAAGGCGAUGAUCAGUAGCCGGUCUGAGAGGAUGAACGGCCACAUUGGGACUGAGACACGGCCCAGACUCCUACGGGAGGCAGCAGUGGGGAAUCUUCCGCAAUAGACGAAAGUCUGACGGAGCAACGCCGCGUGAGUGAUGACGGCCUUCGGGUUGUAAAGCUCUGUUAAUCGGGACGAAAGGCCUUCUUGCGAAUAGUGAGAAGGAUUGACGGUACCGGAAUAGAAAGCCACGGCUAACUACGCG